GCUGCGUCAUGCACUUGAGGGGGCGUUUACUUACUAGAGCAUGUGCUUCACUUUUUUUUAAAUCUAGCAGCAAUUUGCAAGGGGUGUAUAUUUUAUUUAUAUUAUUGGCUAAUUUAUUUGAAACCUGGCCUUUAAGAUGUUCUCACACUAAUCAACCGCUAGUAGCUAGAUAGACCGCGUUUAAACAACGUUUGGCGCAGAAGAUGCAGGAAAUAGCUAGCUAACAAGUUAGCCAGCUAACAUGGCUAGCUAAUAUCGUCCCUACACAGAAUGGUUACCAGCCGUCAUGCGCGCAGGUUGUUCACUUUAGGACUAGCCCAAGUUCAUCUUAUUUAGUUAGCUAUGGACUCAAUGCCUUUAAUACGAGGUGUUUUAUUGCGAAAUGACGACACACCUUAUCAAAACCUCAACCGAGAAUUCGCAACGAGAAUUUCUUAUCCUAGCCCUGAGUCACCGUCUCCUCGAGUGCCCGACAUCACAGAGACCAGCGCUGGUCUGGAGUGGUUUGAAAUGGGCCUAGCGACCUCAUCUGGUCCCGCCAGGAGCACAACAGACCAGGGAGUACCACGGUCUCCUUAUGUCACUGGAUCAGUCAGCACCCAAAGCUCUCCACUCAGCAACUUUGCAGUUCCAUCCACCCCAGUGCAGAGCUGGGGGAUACCCCAUAAUCUGGAGGAGGAUCCAUGGACGGCUAGUCCUACACAGCGCAGAACACAACCAUCUCCCCUGGGUAACGAACCCUCAGAACCCCUGGCUCAAACUGUCCCUGUUAUCAGGAAGAGGAGGGUUUAUGCACUAGCCCAGCCAGUGAGAAGCGACUCUGAAGAGGACCUAUCUAGUAAAGAAGGGAUAUCGGAGAGGGGGAGCAGAAAAGGGAAAGACAGCAGACCCAUCCUGGGAGAUCUGUUUGAAUAACACCCUGACUGAUUUGUAACUGCCGCUGACUUUUUAAUGUUUGAUUAUUUCCAAUGUAAUGCUGGUGAAGUAAUUUACAAUUCCUUACAGUUUACCUAGUUUGAUCCCCUCCUGUUUGUAAUCUUUUUCAUCAGUUUUGCAAUGUGUCAUUGUUCUAAUAAAAUAUAAUCAAAAAGGUUGAAAUAGUAGAACAUUUAAAAUUCCCAGAGUGAAAUAGUAGUAUAGUGACAACCACUAAAUGUCACUGUUGUGUUAUUUCCUGUCUACCACUUUCCUCUCUGAUACUGCUGGGUGUGUGAGCGAGAGGUUAUCCUGUGAUCUUGUACUUUACUGAGAAAAAUGAAACAUGCACUAGUAGGUCAUCUUUAAUGGGUGUGAUCGUGUCUAAGAGGGCAUUGGGUCACCCCCUACUUCUUCUGACCCUUCAUCCUUCCAUGACAUAGAAAAUGUGAAUAGACAAACACUGAAGUUUUUGUCUGAAGUGGAUGUGAAUUCAACAGGAUUGGGAAUGUCUAGGACAGAGAAGGGUAAUGACAUUGUCAGACUAGCCAUCCCCAAAUGAGUGGCCAAAUGGGGCAAUUCCCUUUUCCACAGACUGGCAGAUGGGCCAGGUACUCUAGGAACUCAUGAGUUUGCUAAACAACAGCUUUAUUUAGAACUUUGAUUUGUAUAUUCAGUCUGCUUUGAAACAUAAUGAGUAUAUGUGUCUACGUACAGUGGAAAAAUACCCGAUAUGUGAACAAAUAUAUAUUAAAAAGAUGAAUUAGGGAACCCUUUCAAGUGUAUGCAGGCCUUAAGCCUUUGUGUUGGGAAAGAUAAAUUGUUGGAUUAUUGAAUUCAACGAGACUCUUCUACCCUUGAGUGGGUGACCUACUCAUCCUCAGGGCCUAUGCAUGAUGGGUCCACUAUCCCACACAUAUGGUGGAGAAUUGCCACACUCACCUACAAAAUGGAUUAGGGAGCAUAUUAACAUCAUCUGGAGUCUUAUCAGGGGUUAAAUUGGGAUAGUCUGUCUCUCUGAAUUUUGUUUUUUCUAAAAUUGUCACUAUAUAUUUUGUUUUGCUAUACCCCCCCUACCCCACACACACAGACUUUAACCUCCCCAGAACCCCCUCUCAUCCCCACCGCCACACACAUUAGCCAUGGGAUUGAUGUUGGAGGGUGGGUCACCUAAUCCCUGUUAGGGUGAAGGCACAAAGCGCAUGUUGAUGCAGGAGGGGCCAAAUGCUUACAUCACAUCUGUCUCACUCUGACACAUUUGAUCGUCCUUAAUAGAUCAUCCAUGCCCUUUACUUCUACAUGACUUAGCUUGCUGACCGCACAUUGUGGUUCACACCAAUCAAUACCUGAAUCGUAAAAUAGCAAGAGUGAGGGUGAGAGUGGUUGGGGCUGGGACCAGGGUUAGGGUGAGAGUAUGGUUGGUGCUGGGACCAGGGUUAGGGUGAUAGGGUGGCUGGGGCUGGAACCGGGGUGGGUGAGAGGAUGGUUGGGGGCUCUGCUGUGGAAUGCAUGGAGAUUGACAGGAGGGACAGCAGAGUUUGAUGGAGGGAUACAAAUAGUUAGAAACACCGCACACCCCUCAACACAAUAGAACCAGGGGGGUGUUGUCACUAUGACUCCACUUUCUUUCACCUUCAGCUUCCCUCCUCACACCCUCUUGAGCCUUUUGGGGGGGUUCUUGACAUGACACGUUUGGCCCUUUGUUUCCCUUGCCAACAUUUAUCCCUUCACCCCUUUCACUCUCUGAAAAACAUUUCUAUCUUCCUUUUUGAGAAAUAGAAGUUGUAGAUGUACCCUAUCCUGUGUGUUCUCUUGUGUGGAUGAGCUACAUUACUGGUUUAGCUCAAUAGGCCUUUCAUUGGCCAUGGUGAGGUGGAGAAAUAGGUGACAUGGAAUUCAGAACAUAAUGAAUGCUUUUUUUCACCUUGAUGGAGGUAUCACCUAAGGCAGGUGAAGGCAACCCUGAUCCUGGAGUGCAGGUGCUUCAUGUUUUUGAUUGGAAGAUCAGGUGUGUUCAAUUUAGGCAAUGACUGAACUGAUCAAUUAGCUCAGUUGGUCAGGUGUGGUGCCCAGUUGGAACAAAACCCUGCAAUACCUGCAGCACUUCAGGAACAAGGUUGCCUACCCCUGACCUAAGGUGACAAAAUCACAGAGCUAUAGAGAAUGUCACCUCAGAGGUUUGACAAAGACCAUGAAUGUCUGAGUUGGAAUAAUAAAACCAUAGCAGGCUUUCCCUUGGGCACACAGGAACACCAUGUUCUACCAGCCUCCCAAUUCAAUGCACUACAGUAUGUAUUCAUUAAAAUAUUAAAUGAAAUAAUUUGACCCAAAAAGGAAGGCAGGGGAUAUUUGAACAGAGGGAUUGAUAGUGACAGGUGGGAUGCUAUGGGGGGGGUGUAAUGAAAGGGCUAAAGCAAUUACCAGCUAUCCAUUUAAAAAAGAACCGCAGUAAGGCAUUUUGAGAGACAAAUAUGGACACACUAUGUGGCCAUGCCUCUUUGAGGACCAUUGAUUGUUUGAUGAUUGAAAGUGUCCUUUAUGGUAAGCCUUCUAUUUCAAUGUGAUAUUACAGUUGUGGUUUAAUAUUUUUUUUUGUUAAAUUAGCUUAAUAGCUUUACCACCAGCUUGAGAGGCUGUAAAUUAGCUCACUUCCAUGUUUUUUUGGCAUGCCUCUGUACACUGUAGAUCUAGGGUUUGGUGCAUUUGUGUCACUUCAGGGCCUGACAGAGUACAGCUUAUAGAAACAGACAGCACAGAGACAGACCAGUGUGAGGGGGAGGUGGUGCUGUAGAUGUCACCUAUAGACCUAGCAGGCCACACCCACACAGAUAAUGCAAAAAACAAAAAUGGUUGUUGAUAUGGUAAAAAGAAAUGUCAGUCAAAUGCCCCAUUUUUACCGUUAUGUUGAAAUAUGACACUUUGGACUGUAUUGAAAUGCAGUAAAACAUUAUACACAAAAAGUGGUAAUUUCAAAUAACACUUGGAGUGCAGCUUUUUCAUAUUGAUGUUUCAAUUUGAUGUAAUAAUGUGCAUUAAUUGUUGUUAGAGCUAUUCAAAUUAUUAUAAAAGCCAGUUGAGUGGUGCACCUAUGUAUUCUUGUCACACCACAAGCAUAUGUUGAGACUUACCUGCAGCGAUGUGAAGGACUGAGCUGAUUAGACACAGACAUCAAUAUGGUGACUGUCCUCACCUGUCACGCCCUGACAAGGUGUGAUUUGGGUGGGCAUUCUAGUUUUCUAUUUCUUUGUUGGCCGGGUAUGGUUCCCAAUCAGAGGCAGCUGUCUAUUGUUGUCUCUGAUUGGGAAUCAUACUUAGGCAGCCUGUUUUCCACCUGAAUUUGUGGGAUCUUGUUUUUGCACAGUAGCUGUAUAGCCCUGCAGAACUUUACGUUUGGUUAUCUUUUGUUGUUUUCUUGGUGUUAAUUUUAAAUAAAGAAGAUGUACAUUUUCCACACUGUGCUUUGGUCUCAUUCCGAUCUCCAAUCCAAAAAACAUACUGUACUCAUAGUGCAAAAUCUCAAUCUAUUCCCUACUCUAUAUU
ensembl:lncRNA